GCGCUGUCUGAUCAGGACAUUAUCCGUGGUCUUCGUGGUCUGCUCGCUGCUACAGGCUCUUCUUCGACGGGUACUGCUGGUUCUGUGUCUGGCUCUUCUGGCACCGCGCGACCACCACCUUCUACACAGUCAGGACCGCCGUACACAGGCCCUGGUUGGAGCUGGCCCUCGCAGCCUUGAGUCCCCGGGCCUCUGGGAGUUAGACUGGCUUCGCGUUCCUUCCGCCGACACUUCAUCUGCCAGCUCUCCUGCAGUUGCUGCUUCUGUCACUGGUUCUUUUCAGCAGUGGCAUCAUCGGCUGGGUCACCUUUGUGGCUCCCGUUUAUCGUCAUUAGUUCGUCGUGGUCUUCUGGGGUCUGUCUCAGGAGAUGUGUCUUUACAUUCGUGUCAGGGUUGUAGGUUAGGCAAACAGAUUCAGCUUCCCUAUCCUACCAGUGCGUCUGUAUCUCAGCGACCUUUUGAUUUAGUUCAUUCUGAUGUUUGGGGUCCGGCUCCCUUUGCUUCCAAAGGGGGCCAUCGAUACUAUAUUUUGUUUAUUGAUGACUUUUCCCGGUACACCUGGUUGUUUUUUAUGCGCUCUCGCAGUGAGGUGCUUUCUAUUUAUCAGCGUUUUGUGGCCAUGGUUCGUACUCAGUA